UAAAGUUAAAAGAAAUGUACUGUUUGGAAUAAAUCCUUCUGGGAAUAAGGUGGUAAGAACAUGAAGGAAGUUUUCAGAAGUGAAUUUAACAGCAUGUGGUUUACUAUAUGCAUUUACUAGAAG